rnacentral:rRNA from 1 species
UACGUAGGGGGCUAGCGUUGUCCGGAAUUAUUGGGCGUAAAGAGCGUGUAGGCGGCCAGAUAAGUCCGCUGUGAAAUCUCGAGGCUCAACUUCGAGCUGUCGGUGGAAACUAUCUGGCUAGAGUCCGGAAGAGGAGAAUGGAAUUCCUGGUGUAGCGGUGAAAUGCGCAGAUAUCAGGAAGAACACCCGCGGCGAAGGCGGUUCUCUGGGACGGUACUGACGCUGAGACGCGAAAGCGUGGGGAGCGAACAGG